GUCCCUGUAUGAUCACUGAAGUUAAGCAAUGUUGAGCCUGGUCAGUAUCUAGAUGGGUGACCAUUUGGGAAUACCAGGUGCUGUAA